UACAGAGGGUGCGAGCGUUGUCCGGAAUUACUGGGUGUAAAGCGCGUGUAGGCGGGAGGCCAAGUCUGUGGUGAAAUCGCUCGGCUUAACUGGGCGGGGUCCAUGGAAACUGGUCACCUGGAGGUCGGUAGAGGCAAGUGGAAUUCCCGGUGUAGUGGUGAAAUGCGUAGAGAUCGGGAGGAACACCAGUGGCGAAGGCGGCUUGCUGGGCCGGACCUGACGCUGAGACGCGAAGGCGUGGGGAGCGAACGGG
rnacentral:rRNA from 1 species